rnacentral:rRNA from 1 species
AACGAACGCUGGCGGCAGGCUUAACACAUGCAAGUCGAACGAUGAAGCCGGAGCUUGCUCUGGUGAAUUAGUGGCGAACGGGUGAGUAACACGUGAGUAACCUGCCCUUGACUCUGGGAUAACUGCGGGAAACUGUAGCUAAUACCGGAUACGACCCUCGGAGGCAUCUCCUGGGGGUGGAAAGAAUUUCGGUCAAGGAUGGACUCGCGGCCUAUCAGCUAGUUGGUGAGGUAAAGGCUCACCAAGGCGACGACGGGUAGCCGGCCUGAGAGGGUGACCGGGCACACUGGGACUGGGACACGGCCCAGACUCCUACGGGAGGCAGCAGUGGGGAAUAUUGCACAAUGGGCGCAAGCCUGAUGCAGCAACGCCGCGUGAGGGAUGACGGCCUUCGGGUUGUAAACCUCUUUUAGUAGGGAAGAAGCGAAAGUGACGGUACCUGCAGAAAAAGCACCGGCUAACUACGUGCCAGCCGCCGCCGUAA